rnacentral:rRNA from 1 species
AACGUAGGUGGCAAGCGUUAUCCGGAUUUACUGGGCGUAAAGGGUGUGCAGGCGGGUAGCAAGUGGUGUAUGAAAUCUCCAGGCUUAACCUGGAGGGUUGAUGCCAGACUGCUGCUCUAGAGGACGAGAGAGGGGGGUGGAAUUCCGGGUGUAGGUGGAUGGAAAUGCGUAGGAGAAUCCGGAGGAACCCCAGAGGCGAAGG